rnacentral:lncRNA from 1 species
ACUGUCGGUCGGCGGCUAAGGAGGGGAGGCACCUGCAUCUGGGGCGCGGCGAAUCCUCGCGUGCGCCAGGCCGCCUGGGGUAGUCGCCGAGACUGCGCCGGCCAGCGGGGCCGAAACCUAAUCAGGAGCUGAGCUUUGAUGGCGGCUUCUGGAGGGACAAAGAAGGCGCAGAGCGGUGGGAGGAGGCUGCGAGAACCUAGCUCCCGCCCCAGCCGACGUGCGAGACAAAGGCCCCGGCGCGGGGCUCUUCGGAAGGCCGGGAGGUUCCUGUGACAAUGCGAGUCUGCGCCCCACGCUCCCGCACCGUGAUGCCGAGGCCAAAUGGCUAGAGUGGGCCCAGGCAUCAGCAUUUCUGUUUGGCAGCCGGGCAGUUGUGGUGCACGUUUUGAGGAACUACUAAAGCCUGCCUGUGAUGAAAAAGGCAAAAGCUGACUUCACCAAAAUUACUCCCAGGGAGACUUCUGCAUUUGGCUGGAAGGACAUUUGAGUAAACCGCUGAGGCUGGUGGUUGAAACAUAAUCCUCUAAGGGAGAUCGGUUCCGAUACCCUGAGUUAGGGACGCUUGCCUGGGCAGAGCUAAGGGGAGAAUGAUCAAAAGCCAAGCUCUGUCCCCGUCAGCACGUCACCCUCCCUCACUGUAAUCCCUGACUGUUUUCUCUAAAUGAAGAAUUAUUUAGAGAAUAUAAAUUAGAAGGGCCGCCACGUCAGAAUUGCCUGAGUGGGAGCAGUCUUUCCAGCCUCGAAAAAUGUUUAAACAAUAUGCAGAUGACCUAGCACAAAUAAAGAAUGCUAGCAACCGCUGUUAUGUGUGAGCGGUGGAAUUGGGAGGGCUCUUCCCCCAAUCUUCAUCAAACAGAGUAAGGUUUAGAAUAAAAAUAAUGAAAUACAGUCUUUCAAAAAGAGCAGCGCUUGACUAAUGUUACUGAUGUCACUCAUGUUACUCAAGGGAGGAAAGAACUCAAACUCUACAUAAUAAUACCCACUGAUUUCAAGGGCUGGCACGGAGAAUUAAGCAGACCGCCAUUCUUUAUAUUUGUUUUUUUGUUGUUGUUUGCUUAUGAUUUUUUUCUUUCUUUUUUUUUUUUUUUUUUUGAGAAGGGGUCUCGCACUGUCACCCAGGCAGGAAUGCAGUGGCGCGAUAAUGGCUCACUGCAAUCUCACUAUAUUGACCAGUAUGAUUUUCAACUCCUGUCUUUAAGCGAUCCUCACGCUUCGGCCUCCCAAAGUGCUGGGGUUACAGACAUGUGCCACUAUGCCCUGCCUAAAUAUGUUUAUAUAUACUACCGCCAAAGAAACAAUUUGAAGACGAUCUUUCCCCAGCCCCUCUCCUUCUGAUCCAACUCCAAGAGCUCACCCUCCCUGUAAGACCUGUAGCAGAGCACGUAUUGGCCUGCUGAUACUAGGGGCAAAGACCGGGCCGAUCAGAUGUUACAUGGCAUAAGGGCGAAGGAUUCUGAAAGAAAGACUGAGACUUGCUGGAGGAAGUACUAGUAGUGCCAAGGGCAGGAACUCAACUGUUAGGCAGAAGGGAGGAAUGUACUGUUGAUAUGGACAGACUCCAAGAAGGGGAGGGACUGCUGGGACUACUAGAACGAGAAUGCCUCUGCCCCUAUGGCUCAGCUCUGCAACUCUCUCUGCACAUUGGCUUCAUGCUGUUAGACCAGCUUCCUCCAUAUGUCUGGAAACAAGGCCACUGACAGCUCCCAACAUUUCAUCUUCUGCCUCAUCAUCAGACAGGCGAGGUACACAGAAGAAAGGCCAUGUGAGGACACAGCGAGAAGCAAGUAUCUGCAAGUCAAGAAGAAAGGCCUCAACAGACACCAGCCCUGCCAGCACCUUGAUCUUGGACUUCUGGCCUCCAGAACUGUGAAAGAAUAAAAUUCUGUUGUUUAAGCCACC